rnacentral:rRNA from 1 species
AUACCAUGCAGUCGACGGGAUCUGACCAGCUUGCUGGUUGGUGAGAGUGGCGAACGGGUGAGUAAUGCGUGACCAACCUGCCCCAUGCUCCAGAAUAGCUCUUGGAAACGGGUGGUAAUGCUGGAUGCUCCAACUUGACGCAUGUCUUGUUGGGAAAGUGUUUAGUGGCAUGGGAUGGGGUCGCGUCCUAUCAGCUUGUAGGCGGGGUAAUGGCCCACCUAGGCUUCGACGGGUAGCCGGCCUGAGAGGGCGGACGGCCACAUUGGGACUGAGAUACGGCCCAGACUCCUACGGGAGGCAGCAGUGGGGAAUAUUGCGCAAUGGGGGAAACCCUGACGCAGCGACGCCGCGUGCGGGAUGAAGGCCUUCGGGUUGUAAACCGCUUUUGAUUGGGAGCAAGCCUUUUGGGUGAGUGUACCUUUCGAAUAAGCGCCGGCUAACUACGUGCCAGCAGCCGCGGUAAUACGUAGGGCGCAAGCGUUAUCCGGAAUUAUUGGGCGUAAAGAGCUUGUAGGCGGUUCGUCGCGUCUGGUGUGAAAGCCCAUCGCUUAACGGUGGGUUUGCGCCGGGUACGGGCGGGCUAGAGUGCAGUAGGGGAGACUGGAAUUCUCGGUGUAACGGUGGAAUGUGUAGAUAUCGGGAAGAACACCAAUGGCGAAGGCAGGUCUCUGGGCUGUUACUGACGCUGAGAAGCGAAAGCGUGGGGAGCGAACAGGAUAGC